AUAAAUUUCAGUAUGACAUUCCAAGAUUCUGGAAGCUGUAUACACAAAAUUGGAGAAAGAAUGAAGGUGAGGGUGCUGCCACACACAGCACCAGGAGAAGAGGAGGAUUUUCUGUACAGCAUUAGCUCUCCAGCACAGAGCGUGGUCUGGCCACUACUUGGACAGAGCUGGUAGACUCCCUGCAACAGGAGGCUGAGAAACUCAGAGCUGAGCACCCCAAGGAAAGAGAGCUGAUCUGGGAGAGGACUGU